rnacentral:lncRNA from 12 species
UUUAGGGAUAAAUUCGGGUUUUUCCUUAAAUCCCACGGAAAUCUGGGGAAAGGGGAAAUUUUCCAGGAAAAUCCAGCUGGAGAGGCUUCCAGAACUCCGGGCUUGGAGCUGGAAUUUGGGAUUAAACCCCCCAAAAAAUCAGGGUGUGAAUUAAACCUUAAACUCUCGAGCAAACCCCAAACCAUGACCCAGAGGAUUUGGGGGGAUUUCUGUGGGAUUUGGGGCAUUUUUUUUGUGGGAUUUGGGGUGUUUUGUGUGGGGUUUGAGGUAUUUUUUUGUGGAAUCCGGGGCGUUUCUGUGGGUUUGGGGUGUUUCUGGGAUAUUUGGAAUAUUUCUUGUGGGAUUUGGGGUCAGAGCCCCAAAGGAAGGGCCUGACCCCAACCCCGGCCCCACAGGAGUACCCCGGGUACGGUUGGUGGGUCGGGGAGCUCGGCCAGGAAAUUGGGAUCGUCCCGAAGGAAUUCCUGAUGCCCGCCUUCGACCUGGAGCAGUGACGGGACAGGAUUCCUCCGCAGGACCCAGCGCUGGCACCGAGAGGAUUUAUCCCAGAAAUCCCCCCUGGCGCCAUUCCGUGGGGAAACUGAGGCACGCAUCCCGCUUUUCCCAAAAAUCCCAAAUCCCCUGGAGAUCUCCCACUCUCGUUAUCCCGCUUUUCCUGCGUCAAUCCCAAAUCCCCUGGAGAUCCCAAAUCCAGGUGUUCCCCCAUCCCAAAUCCAGGUGUUCCCCCAUCCCAAAUCCAGGUGUUCUCCCUCAAUAAAUCCC